rnacentral:rRNA from 1 species
UUCAGAGGUCCCAAGCGUUGUUCGGAUUCACUGGGCGUAAAGGGUGCGUAGGUGGCGGGAAAAGUUUGAUGCGAAAUCUCCGGGCUUAACCCGGAAACUGCAUUGAAUACUAUUCUGCUUGAGGGUUGGAGGGGGGACUGGAAUUCUCGGUGUAGCAGUGAAAUGCGUAGAUAUCGAGAGGAACACCAGUGGCGAAGGCGAGUCCCUGGACAACUCCUGACACUGAGGCACGAAAGCUAGGGGAGCAAACAGG